GACGAACGCUGGCGGCGUGCCUAAUACAUGCAAGUAGAACGCACAGUUUAUACCGUAGCUUGCUACACCAUAGACUGUGAGUUGCGAACGGGUGAGUAACGCGUAGGUAACCUGCCUGGUAGCGGGGGAUAACUAUUGGAAACGAUAGCUAAUACCGCAUAAUAUUAAUUAUUGCAUGAUAAUUAAUUGAAAGGUGCAAUUGCACCACUACCAGAUGGACCUGCGUUGUAUUAGCUAGUAGGUGAGGUAACGGCUCACCUAGGCGACGAUACAUAGCCGACCUGAGAGGGUGGUCGGCCACACUUGGACUGGGACACGGCCCAGACUCCUACGGGAGGCAGCAGUAGGGAAUCUUCGGCAAUGGACGAAAGUCUGACCGAGCAACGCCGCGUGAGUGAAGAAGGUUUUCGGAUCGUAAAGCUCUGUUGUAAGAGAAGAACGGGUGUGAGAGUGGAAAGUUCACACUGUGACGGUAUCUUACCAGAAAGGGACGGCUAACUACGUG
rnacentral:rRNA from 1 species